AUCCUAUCUUUUCUUUUAACUUUGACUUUUUAUUACGACCAAUUUUAUUGUUUUAUUGUUCGACAAAAGGUUCAUUUAUAUACAAUAAUCGGAUUGUAGCGGGUAUAGUUUAGUGGUAAAAGUGUGAUUCGUUCUAUAAUCCCUUAAUAGUUAAGGGGUCUUUCGGUUUGAUUAAUAUUCCAUUCCGAUCAAAAACUUUAUUUCUUAAAAGGAUUUAAUCCUUUACCUCUCAAUGAAAAAUUCGAGGAAUAAUAUACAUUCUCGUGAUUUGUAUCCAAGAAUCAAUGAAAAGUUGAAAAAUUGGAUUAUGAGAUUACGAAACAUAAUUUUUUUUAUUGGAUCAAUACUUCUAUUCUAAAUGGAUAAGUUCUAAAUUAAUAAGUAUAAAUAAAGGAUCCAUGGAUAAAGAUAGAGGGUGUAUUUCUAAUCGUAACUAAAUCUUUAAUUUAGAAUUUGUAUGUAGGUAAAUUGAAGCAAAAUAGCUAUUAAACAAUGACUUUGGUUUACUAUAGACAUUGACAAAUUGUUUUAGCUCGGUGGAAACAAAAUGCUUUUCCUAAGGAUUCUCUCAAAUAGAAAUAGAGAACGAAGUAACUAGAAAGAUUUUUAUAAUCCCCCUCUUUUCUAUUAGGGAUCGUCUAGAAAGCGGGUUGUUCUGAAUACAUUCAGACAGAAAAGCUGACAUAGAUGUUAUGGGUGGAAUUGUUUUUUAUUUCGUUCAUGUCUUAAUCUGGGAAUUUAUCCAUCUUACAUAAAGGAGCCGAAUGAAACCAAAGUUUCACGUUCAGUUUUGAAUUAGAGACGUUAAAAAUGAUGAAUCAACGUCGACUAUAACCCCUAGCCUUCCAAGCUAACGAUGCGGGUUCGAUUCCCGCUACCCGCUUUUACUUUAUC
rnacentral:ncRNA from 1 species